UACGUAGGGGGCGAGCGUUGUCCGGAAUUACUGGGCGUAAAGCGCGCGUAGGUGGUACGUCAAGUUCGGCGUGAAAUCUCCAGGCUCAACUUGGAGUCUGCACGAGAAACUGCCGGGCUUGAGUGUGGGAGAGGUGAGUGGAAUUCCUGGUGUAGCGGUGAAAUGCGUAGAUAUCAGGAGGAACACCUGUGGCGAAAGCGGCUCACUGGACCACAACUGACGCUGAUGCACGAAAGCUAGGGGAGCAAACAGG
rnacentral:rRNA from 1 species